CAAAGGUAGCAUAAUCAUUAGGGAUUUAAUUGGAACCUGGAAUGAAGGGUUGGACAAAGGAAAGACUGUCUUUAUAGUGUAAGUUGAAGUUUACUUUUAAGUGAAAAGGCUUAAAUGUUUCAGAGGGACGAUAAGACCCUAUAAAGCUUUAUAAAUAAUUGAGAUUUGAUUGAUUUAUAAAAUAAAAGUUGAGUUUAAUUAUUUUAUUUUGUUGGGGUGAUGUGAGUAUAAUUGAUGGUAACUGCUUAUGAGAGAUACUAUAAUGAUAGAAUUAUAAAUGAUGAUCCUUCUUAAAGAUUAAAAGACUAAGUUACUUUAGGGAUAACAGCGUUAUUUCUUUUGAGAGUUCAUAUCGAAAAAGGAGAUUGCGACCUCGAUGUUGAAUUAAAAUAUCUAUAUAAUGCAGCCGUUAUAAAAGAGGGUCUGUUCGACCUUUAAAUUUUUACAUGAUUUGAGUUCAAACCGG
rnacentral:rRNA from 1 species